GGGGGGGGGGGGGGGAACCCGAAGGCAGCCGCCAAGCCGACGCUUCCUGUCCCCGGUGAGGGACGGUGGAGGUAAACUCCAAGACGGCGCGCGCAGAGAACCCAACGCGGCUGCGAGGAGGUGAAGGCAGCGACGCCGCUUCCCGGAGUGCUCCGGUAGGCUUAGGAGGUUUCGCAAUUCUUAGCAAGGAGGGAGACAGAGGAAAAAUGCAGUGGGGGGCGCAGCUACUAAGGCAGGUAGCAAAUGAGAUCUUUCACUCAAAAUUUGGAUGGAGGGGCGGCAGACAAAGAAUAGGAUGGGAAACAGAGGGGCUUUUAACUAUUUGCCACUCUUACGGAUGUUGCUUAACGAUUUGCCACUAGGCCCACAUGUCAUAGACACAUGAGGGCCCACAUGUCAUUGACAGGGUGUGGCAAAUCGUUAAUUGCCAUGUCACAAGAGUGGCAAAUAGUUAAAUUUCCCGGAAACGGAGGCAGGCUAAACUGAUGGCGAGGAGUUUGAAGACGACGAUGGAAACCUGUGUUUUGAUGCUUGAAAUGCCAAUGUUUUAGUCCUGUAAUAACUGUUUGUUUUCCUUUUUUUUUUCUCUCGUCUUAUCUGUAAGAACUUGAUGUUUCUGGAACUGUUGUAAUCAUGAGCGUUUUCUUUAAUGAAAACGGGGGAGAUACCCUCCCUUUCUCAAAAAAAAAAUCCCAAAUUUGCACAUUUGCUUCCCGAUUUAAUUUUAUUUGCAGGUAGUCGAGAAGUUGGAAUUCCAUGCAAUUAAUCCUAAGAAUUAUUGAAUUCCAGAGCAUGCCUUCUGAAAUUAGCCCAUUGCUUGUCCAAACUACAAGUUGAAACAUAUGUUUGCACUGAGGCAAUGCACAAGAACGAAAACAAUGCAUAACUGGAUGUUCAUGCCCCUCUUGGAAACCUCCAUAUAUGCACUCCUUAUGUAGCUCCUACUGCUCAUUGUUCCAAGGUCUAAAACCAUUUCUUUGCCAGGAUAGUAUCUUGUCCAACAAUAAAUAAUCUCCAUUAGUCUCAUAAUUUCAAGGACUGAAAACAUUUCUGGCACAUAGUAACCUUCUUGUAAACACAUUGCACACUUUCAUUUCUGCAGUUGGAUUUUGCACCUUGCCUGCAAUUCCAUCUAUAAUGUGAGUUAUGGGAAUUAUAGUGAUGAACUCCUCACUGGAAUAAAAAACUUUCAUAUCCAUUUCAUCAAGUUUAUGUGCUUUGCUAUCCACAAGCAUACAUGAUAUUUCUUGAAACACUUGAUCUGCUGCCUCUGCAAAUAAUGACACACCACCGACAUGAGUGAGCACGAUAUCCUUUCUCCUCCAGGCCAAGUGCACAGGACGGCGAGCAAUGCGUAUUCGUGACACCCACUUAACAACACGCUGGUUACGCUUGCUCAGCCUGGAGGAUGUGGCUGCAAUGGACUUGAUGCUAGACUGAGCGUCAGCUACACUUAUUGGACUUGAGGUGUAACUGAUAAGUGACGUGUCUGUACCUACAAGGUCUGUCAAGGGCAUGGCUGAGGUGGCAAGUGUGGACGUCGAACACUUGGUGGGAAUUGCUACCUUCUGUUCACUGGAGCAUAGCUGCACAUACUUGACAUCUAACAAGCAACACCCAUCAUAGAUGUAGCGUCCAUGGAGUGCAUGUUGAGCUCGUGUUACAUCUUAGAUGGACUUGAAAGAGACUACGGCCUCCACAUAGGUAACCGCCUCGAUCACAAUCAUCACAUGCUCCACAUCAUAAGGAACUAAUACUUGAUGAAGUACCUCUGUGGUUACCAGAUAGAGCACAUCGCUCACCGUGAAGUGAAGAACAGUUGUUAUGGUUGGCUCUUUGUUACUUGGCAUUUCAUCGAACACUUGUUGAGCGUCAGUGUAGGUGGUUGCUCCUAGGCUUGAAACAGCACCAACAGAAGCCUGUUAGGUAGAGGGGGCUAGCUAGGGAGGGCGAUACCUUGUUGAGGAUGUGAUCCACAGCAGCGCUCAAUUCAUCAACCUUCGCCUUAAACCUCGCCAUGAAUGCCUUCUGCUUAUGCAGCUCAACGGACUCCACCAUUGAUGCUUCCAUUGGGUAAGGUUUCCACUAUCUUCCUCGUCUCUCUACAGAUCGAACCUUAGGCUAGAAUCACGGUGCGUAAAACACCAACCCUUCCCUUGGGUCUACCAAUCAAGCAGCAAGAGAACCGAUCAGAACAGCUCUGAUACCAAAUUGUUAUGACCCGAGCUCGUGAGAGAUCGAAUCACACAAACUAGCAGCAGAAUACACUGAUAACUUAAGAUAAUUUGAGAAGAAAUUGCGGGAUCGGGUGAAGAACAGAAAGGGGGCAAAGGAAGAAGAACAGAAGGA